rnacentral:rRNA from 1 species
GAUCAUGGCUCAGAUUGAACGCUGGCGGCAUGCUUUACACAUGCAAGUCGAACGGCAGCAUGAGGAGCUUGCUCCUUGAUGGCGAGUGGCGCACGGGUGAGUAAGACAUCGGAACGCGUCCUUUUGUGGGGGAUAACUGUCCGAAAGGACAGCUAAUACCGCAUAAGACCUGAGGGUGAAAGCGGGGGAUCGCAAGACCUCGCGCGAAAGGAGCGGCCGAUGGCCGAUUAG